rnacentral:rRNA from 1 species
UCUCGGCAACGGAUAUCUCGGCUCUYGCAUCGAUGAAGAACGCAGCGAAAUGCGAUACCUGGUGUGAAUUGCAGAAUCCCGCGAACCAUCGAGUCUUUGAACGCAAGUUGCGCCCGAGGCCAUCCGGCCGAGGGCACGCCUGCCUGGGCGUCACGCUAAACACGCUC